CCUACGGGCGGCAGCAGUGGGGGAUAUUGCACAAUGGGGGGAACCCUGAUGCAGCGACGCCGCGUGAGUGAAGGAGUGCUUCGGCAUGUAAAGCCCUAUCGGCAGGGAAGAAGCAACACGGUACCUGACUAAGAAGCCCCGGCUAACUACGUGCCAGCAGCCGCGGUAAUACGUAGGGGGCGAGCGUUAUCCGGAUUCACUGGGUGUAAAGGGAGCGUAGACGGCCAUGCAAGCCUGAGGUGAAAGCCCAGGGCCCAACCCUGGGACUGCCCUGGGAACUGCAUGGCUUGAGUGCGGGAGGGGCAGGCGGAAUUCCUGGUGUAGCGGUGAAAUGCGUAGAUAUCAGGAGGAACACCGGCGGCGAAGGCGGCUUACUGGACAGCGACUGACGUUGAGGCUCGAAAGCGUGGGGAGCGAACAGGAUUAGAUACCCAUGUAGUC
rnacentral:rRNA from 1 species